rnacentral:rRNA from 1 species
UACGAAGGACCCAAGCGUUAUCCGGAUUUAUUGGGUUUAAAGGGUGCGUAGGCGGACUUGUAAGUCAGUGGUGAAAUCCUGCGGCUUAACUGCAGAACUGCCAUUGAAACUACUUGUCUUGAGUACAUUUGAAGCGGGCGGAAUGUGUCAUGUAGCGGUGAAAUGCAUAGAUAUGACACAGAACACCAAUUGCGAAGGCAGCUCGCUAAACUGUAACUGACGCUGAGGCACGAAAGCGUGGGUAGCAAACAGG